GGUCAGGCGGUGGAGACUCAGGUGCGCAAAAAAUUUGGUACUACUGUUCAUUUCUACCCCAAGGGAGAUGCUAAGGAGUUUUUCCUAGUGGUGGCUUUCUCUUCUGCCUCCUUCCCCCUUUCGGUUGAUUCGGUGGGUCUUGCUUUACAAUGUUGCAUUGGU
rnacentral:rRNA from 1 species